rnacentral:tRNA from 1 species
GCUCGGGUGGUGAAAUGGCAGACACGUGCGUUUGAGGGGCGCAUGCCGCAAGGCAUGGGGGUUCAAGUCCCCCCCCGAGCACCA